rnacentral:rRNA from 1 species
AUUGAACGCUGGCGGCAUGCUUUACACAUGCAAGUCGAACGGCAGCAUGGGUGCUUGCACCUGAUGGCGAGUGGCGAACGGGUGAGUAAUACAUCGGAACGUACCCGGAAGUGGGGGAUAACGUAGCGAAAGUUACGCUAAUACCGCAUAUUCUGUGAGCAGGAAAGCAGGGGAUCGCAAGACCUUGCGCUUUCGGAGCGGCCGAUAUCAGAUUAGCUAGUUGGUGAGGUAAAGGCUCACCAAGGCGACGAUCUGUAGCGGGUCUGAGAGGAUGAUCCGCCACACUGGAACUGAGACACGGUCCAGACUCCUACGGGAGGCAGCAGUGGGGAAUUUUGGACAAUGGGCGCAAGCCUGAUCCAGCCAUGCCGCGUGAGUGAAGAAGGCCUUCGGGUUGUAAAGCUCUUUCGGCCGGGAAGAAAUCGCACGGGUUAAUACCCUGUGUGGAUGACGGUACCGGAAUAAGAAGCACCGGCUAACUACGUG